AAAUGGCAGUUCAUCUACACCUUGUACGCUUAACGACGCUCCUCGUAUUUUAAAUAUUGAGUUUGCGUUUCUUAGAAAAGUGGUAACGAAAUCAGGAGGUAGAAGGUCAUCGGUGAUACUCAAAUUCGUAUUCGAAAUAGUGUAGAGCUCGUCGUCCAGCACAGUUUUCAUUCUCUGAUAGGUAAAGUCUUCCAAACUAUAGUAGAGUAUUAGUAAUUAACAAAUAUACACGCUUUUCGUUUUGGAGCUUACGUUUUAAUAAUUCUCAAAAUUAUGCACUCGUCAUGCACGAUCUUUGAAAAUGCCUCCCUAUAAAAACCAAGAAUUUCUAUAACGUUAUAUAGUCUAACUAUGUCUGAUAGAUCCAGCACCGAAGUCUGCGCUCGAGAUGAUAGAGGACGGCAAAUUCCGUAUAAGCUUCCAUCAAGUAAGGAAUUCAUUUGAUCUUCUAAAACAUUAGGAACGUCCCAAGGAGGGAAGGGAUUUAACUGAAUCUGGCGCUUUCGGGCGGCGAACAAAGCUUCAACUAGUUCCUUUUCAUUAACAAUUGUUUGAUGAAUCCAAGCAAGUAAAUCUCCAAUGAAGCGCACAGUAUCGGGAGCCGACAACUCAAUUGGUCUGGAGGAUGAUAAAAAAUCUCCUCUAGUGAGAGCUGUCAGAUAAGCCGUAGAUAAAAUUUGUUGACGGGCCUGAACAAUUAAAUUAAUUGACUUGUUUACCAUUGUUGGUUCUGAAAAAAGCUUGGUAAAAGCUUUUUUUAGAUGCGAAUUUGCUUCUAAAGUUUGAGCAGUCUGAGGAUCUGACAGUUCGGUCUGUACGCAUCGAAAAAGUUUUUCAAAUGCAGCUUCAAUAUACCGAGACAUUUUUUUUACAAUUUCCUCGAAAGAAGAGUACUCCACGAAGCCAGAAAGUGAAGCAAAUAAAGAAUCACUACUAUCAUGAAUCUCUUGCGCUUUGUCGAGAAUUAAGUAAAAUCGAUCGUCAACGUCAGUUGAAGAAGUCAAGUGAAUUAAAUCAUCGUCCAUUAUUACAAAGUUUUUCUCAAAUAUUUCAAUAUUUUU